rnacentral:rRNA from 1 species
UACGGAGGGUGCGAGCGUUAUCCGGAAUUACUGGGCUUAAAGGGUGCGUAGGCGGCCAAGUAAGUCAGGAGUGAAAGUUUGCGGCUCAACCGUAAAAUUGCUUUUGAUACUGCUAGGCUAGAAUUAGGAUGAGGUCAGCGGAAUGUGGCAUGUAGCGGUGAAAUGCAUAGAUAUGCCAUAGAACACCAAUUGCGAAGGCAGCUGGCUAGACCUAUAUUGACGCUGAGGCACGAAAGCGUGGGGAGCGAACAGG